CCCCCCCCCCCCCCCCCCCAAGUCUAAACCCUCGCUACGCCACUGGAAAAAAGCAUCUCUAUUUGUUGGUAUUUAUAUACGCCCCAGAUUUUUAGUUGUAUUCAAUCCAAACACUACUUAGGCGUAGUGUAUAAAUGUCCCAUAGUAAUUACAUUGUAUUUUAAUUAAGUUAUUAUUUGUUUGUGGAUUACAUUGAGGGCUUUAAAAUAGUUCCAAUCUCUUCCUAUACAUUAUUGAAUGCAAAAUUGCUGCGUUUGUUUGAACCUUGUAUACAAUAUUGUUAUAUCAUGACUGUGUCAGACUUGUUAGAACAACCUUGUAACAAGUCCGAU